GACGAACGCUGGCGGCGUGCUUAACACAUGCAAGUCGAACGGAAAGGCCCUGCUUUUGUGGGGUGCUCGAGUGGCGAACGGGUGAGUAACACGUGAGUAACCUGCCCUUGACUUUGGGAUAACUUCAGGAAACUGGGGCUAAUACCGGAUAGGAGCUCCUGCUGCAUGGUGGGGGUUGGAAAGUUUCGGCGGUUGGGGAUGGACUCGCGGCUUAUCAGCUUGUUGGUGGGGUAGUGGCUUACCAAGGCUUUGACGGGUAGCCGGCCUGAGAGGGUGACCGGCCACAUUGGGACUGAGAUACGGCCCAGACUCCUACGGGAGGCAGCAGUGGGGAGUAUUGCAGAAUGGGCGGAAGCCUGAUGCAGCAACGCCGCGUGCGGGAUGACGGCCUUCGGGUUGUAAACCGCUUUCGCCUGUGACGAAGCGUGAGUGACGGUAAUGGGUAAAGAAGCACCGGCUAACUACGUG
rnacentral:rRNA from 1 species